rnacentral:rRNA from 1 species
AUUGAACGCUGGCGGCAUGCUUUACACAUGCCAGUCGAACGGUAACAGGCCUUCGGGUGCUGACGAGUGGCGAACGGGUGAGUAAUGCAUCGGAACGUACCCAGAGGUGGGGGAUAACGCAGCGAAAGCUGUGCUAGUACCGCAUGUGAUCUGAGGAUGAAAGCGGGGGACCGAGCAGCAAUGUUUGGCCUCGCGCCUUUGGAGCGGCCGAUGUCGGAUUAGCUAGUUGGUGGGGUAAAGGCCUACCAAGGCGACGAUCCGUAGCUGGUCUGAGAGGACGACCAGCCACACUGGGACUGAGACACGGCCCAGACUCCUACGGGAGGCAGCAGUGGGGAAUUUUGGACAAUGGGCGCAAGCCUGAUCCAGCAAUGCCGCGUGCGGAAAGAAGGCCUUCGGGUUGUAAACCGCUUUUGGCAGGAACGAAACGGUGUCCGCUAAUACCGGGCGCUAAUGACGGUACCUGCAGAAUAAGCACCGGCUAACUACGUG